rnacentral:rRNA from 1 species
GAGUUUGAUCAUGGCUCAGAUUGAACGCUGGCGGCAGGCCUAACACAUGCAAGUCGAGCGGUAGAGAGAAGCUUGCUUCUCUUGAGAGCGGCGGACGGGUGAGUAAUGCCUAGGAAUCUGCCUGGUAGUGGGGGAUAACGCUCGGAAACGGACGCUAAUACCGCAUACGUCCUACGGGAGAAAGCAGGGGACCUUCGGGCCUUGCGCUAUCAGAUGAGCCUAGGUCGGAUUAGCUAGUUGGUGAGGUAAUGGCUCACCAAGGCGACGAUCCGUAACUGGUCUGAGAGGAUGAUCAGUCACACUGGAACUGAGACACGGUCCAGACUCCUACGGGAGGCAGCAGUGGGGAAUAUUGGACAAUGGGCGAAAGCCUGAUCCAGCCAUGCCGCGUGUGUGAAGAAGGUCUUCGGAUUGUAAAGCACUUUAAGUUGGAGGAAGGGCAGGUAAAUUAAUACUUUAGUCUGUUUUUGACGUUUACCGACAGAAUAAGCACCGGCUAACUCU